CAGCAGCCGCGGUAAUACGAAGGGGGCUAGCGUUGUUCGGAUUUACUGGGCGUAAAGCGCACGUAGGCGGAUCGAUCAGUCAGGGGUGAAAUCCCAGAGCUCAACUCUGGAACUGCCUUUGAUACUGUCGAUCUGGAGUAUGGAAGAGGUGAGUGGAAUUCCGAGUGUAGAGGUGAAAUUCGUAGAUAUUCGGAGGAACACCAGUGGCGAAGGCGGCUCACUGGUCCAUUACUGACGCUGAGGUGCGAAAGCGUGGGGAGCAAACAGGAUUAGAUACCCGUGUAGUCCCUGUCUCUUAUAC
rnacentral:rRNA from 1 species